rnacentral:rRNA from 1 species
UACGAAGGGGGCUAGCGUUGCUCGGAAUCACUGGGCGUAAAGGGUGCGUAGGCGGGUCUUAAGUCAGAGGUGAAAUCCUGGAGCUCAACUCCAGAACUGCCUUUGAUACUGAGGAUCUUGAGUUCGGGAGAGGUGAGUGGAACUGCGAGUGUAGAGGUGAAAUUCGUAGAUAUUCGCAAGAACACCAGUGGCGAAGGCGGCUCACUGGCCCGAUACUGACGCUGAGGCACGAAAGCGUGGGGAGCAAACAGG